UACGGGGGGGGCAAGCGUUGUUCGGAAUUACUGGGCGUAAAGGGCUCGUAGGUGGCCAACUAAGUCAGACGUGAAAUCCCCAGGCUCAACUUGGGAACUGCGUCUGAUACUGGAUGGCUUGAAUUCGGGAGAGGGAUGCAGAAUUCCAGGUGUAGCGGUGAAAUGCGUAGAUAUCUGGAGGAAUACCGGUGGCGAAGGCGGUUCUCUGGGCAUGUCCUGACGCUGAGGAGCGAAAGUGUGGGGAGCGAACAGG
rnacentral:rRNA from 1 species